GACGAACCGAGCGAACGUUGUUCGGAAUCACUGGGCUUAAAGGGCGCGUAGGCGGGUGCUCAAGUCUGUGGUGAAAUCCUCCGGCUCAACCGGAGAACUGCCAUGGAUACUGGGCGUCUCGAGUGUGGUAGGGGUAUGCGGAACUAUCGGUGGAGCGGUGAAAUGCGUUGAUAUCGAUAGGAACGCCGGUGGCGAAGGCGGCAUACUGGACCACCACUGACGCUGAUGCGCGAAAGCCAGGGGAGCAAACGGG
rnacentral:rRNA from 1 species